CACUAAGAGAGGUUUGCUCUUAGCAGUACCUGCCCAGUGCGUCAUAUUGUAAACGGCCGCCCUAGCGUGAGGGUGCCAAGGUAGCGAAAUUCCUUGCCUUUUAAUUGUAGGCCUGCAUGAAUGGAUUGACGAGGGCCAUUCUGUCUCUUGCCUUAUGAAGUGAAAUUGGAUUAAAGGUGAAGAUACCUUUAUUAAAAAGUUAGACAAGAAGACCCCGUGCAGCUUUUAAAAGAUCCUUUAUUAAGAGAGGUAGAUUUUUAGGUGGGGCGCCUAGGAAGUAAAAUUUAACCUUCUGUGUAAUUUUGUUUGUGAUAACUCUCUAGUAUAGACCCGGUGAAAUCCGAUCGUAGGAGAAGUUACGCCGGGGAUAACAGGCUUAUCCAUUAGUAGAGCUCGUAUUGGCUAAUGGGAUUGGCACCUCGAUGUUGAAUUAGGGACAAUAACUUUAAGGCGUAGAAGCUUUAAGAGUGGGUCUGUUCGACCUUUAAUACCCU
rnacentral:rRNA from 2 species